GAUGAACGCUGGCGGCGUGCCUAAUACAUGCAAGUCGAGCGAACAGACGAGGAGCUUGCUCCUCUGACGUUAGCGGCGGACGGGUGAGUAACACGUGGAUAACCUACCUAUAAGACUGGGAUAACUUCGGGAAACCGGAGCUAAUACCGUAUAAUAUAUUGAACCGCAUGGUUCAAUAGUGAAAGACGGUUUUGCUGUCACUUAUAGAUGGAUCCGCGCCGCAUUAGCUAGUUGGUAAGGUAACGGCUUACCAAGGCGACGAUGCGUAGCCGACCUGAGAGGGUGAUCGGCCACACUGGAACUGAGACACGGUCCAGACUCCUACGGGAGGCAGCAGUAGGGAAUCUUCCGCAAUGGGCGAAAGCUUGACGGAGCAACGCCGCGUGAGUGAUGAAGGUCUUCGGAUCGUAAAACUCUGUUAUUAGGGAAGAACAAAUGUGUAAGUAACUAUGCACGUCUUGACGGUACCUAAUCAGAAAGCCACGGCUAACUACGUG
rnacentral:rRNA from 1 species